rnacentral:sRNA from 1 species
AUAACACUGGAGGAGACUGAAGUCCCCUAUGCACAGAAGAAAUACAAACACAAGUAGCAAAAAUGCAGGCUUCCCCACACUGUCCCAAUAAUGCUUUAAGACUGAUGCAGAGAGAAUGCUUUUAGUAAUGAGAGGGGUAUUCCAGUUCCCAAAUCCACUGAUCCUUGUCCUUU